rnacentral:snRNA from 1 species
AUUCUCUGUUCCUUCUCAGUUUAAUACCUGGGAACGGAAACGAUUCGUUUCCUCUAUGUAUUAAUCGGAUUUUUGAACUUGGAGUAUGGUGCUGGAGCUUGCUCCACCCUGCUCACGGGUUGUCCUGGUAUUGCAGUACCUCCAGGUUCGGCUCACGUUUC